GCCCUUGUAGUUCAACGGAUAGAACGAUGGUUUCCUAAACCGUAAAUUUGGGUUCGAUUCCCAACGGGGGUA
rnacentral:tRNA from 1 species